rnacentral:rRNA from 1 species
AUACGGAGGAUCCGAGCGUUAUCCGGAUUUAUUGGGUUUAAAGGGUGCGCAGGCGGCCAUUUAAGUCAGCGGUUAAAUCGUGGGGCUCAACCCCAUUCUGCCGUUGAUACUGGGUGGCUUGAUUGCGGUCGAGGUUGGCGGAAUUCGUUGUGUAGCGGUGAAAUGCAUAGAUAUGACGAAGAACACCGAUUGCGUAGGCAGCUGACCAGACCGCAAAUGACGCUCAUGCACGAAAGUGCGGGGAUCAAACAGGAUUAGAUACCCUGGUAGUCCGCACAGUAAACGAUGAAUACUUGUUUUCGGCGAUAUAAUGUCGGAGGCAAAGCGAAAGCGAUAAGUAUUCCACCUGGGGAGUACGCCGGCAACGGUGAAACUCAAAGGAAUUGACGGGG